rnacentral:rRNA from 1 species
UACGUAGGUGGCAAGCGUUGUCCGGAUUUACUGGGCGUAAAGAGCGCGCAGGCGGUCGUUCAAGUCGAGUGUGAAAGCCCCCGGCUCAACUGGGGAGGGUCACUCGAUACUGAUCGACUCGAAGGCAGAAGAGGGAAGCGGAAUUCCCGGUGUAGUGGUGAAAUGCGUAGAUAUCGGGAGGAACACCAGUGGCGAAGGCGGCUUCCUGGCCUGUUCUUGACGCUGAGGCGCGAAAGCUAGGGGAGCAAACGGG